rnacentral:rRNA from 1 species
UACGUAGGGGGCGAGCGUUGUCCGGAGUUACUGGGCGUAAAGGGCAUGCAGGCGGUCCGACACGUUUUUGUGUGACAGCGGGUGGCUUAACUACCCGAGGAUACGAAAGACGGUUGGACUUGAGGACUCGAGAGGGACACGGAAUUCCGGGUGGAGUGGUGAAAUGCGUGGAGAUCAAGAGGAACACUCGUGGCGAAAGCGAGCUACUGGACAAUAUCUGACGCUGAGGCUCGAAGGCCAGGGUAGCGAAAGGG